GAGACUGACAACAUCAGAAGAUGCAAUGGCUUGGCUUAGAGUUUUUGAAGUGGAAGACCUGUUAAUCAGUAGUUGUUGCAUGAUUGUGAAGUAUACUCUUCAGACUUGGCUUGGGCCAGGAGGACUUGAGCAUGUGACUUUUGAGCUAGGAAAGUUGUAGAGCUUUGAGCAGAAGUUGAAGGAAGUUGUUUUUGUUCCUUAGGCUAUUUGAGUAGCCAUUCUUCUACAGUUGCUAAGGAGGCUUUUUGAUGCUUUUUGAAACUUGGACCACCAUCUAAUUUUGAAUUUUUUGAUUAGAACUGGUCCUUGGAGAAGUUGAUCAGUCUUGUAAUCAUAAUCCCAUGAGAGGACCCAUGGUAUAAAGAAUUUUGAAGCAAAAAGUAUUAGCGGAUGAAAUAGAUCUUCUUCAGUUGUAGGCUUAUAG
rnacentral:misc_RNA from 1 species